rnacentral:rRNA from 1 species
CCUACGGGUGGCAGCAGUGAGGAAUAUUGGUCAAUGGACGAGAGCCUGAACCAGCCAAGUAGCGUGAGGGAUGACUGUCCUAUGGUUUGUAAACCUCUUUUAUAUGGGAAUAAAAUGCUGCACGUGUCUGAUUUUGUAUGUACCAUAUGAAUAAGGAUCGGCUAACUCCGGGCCAGCAGCCGCGGUAAUACGGAGGAUCCGAGCGUUAUCCGGAUUUAUUGGGUUUAAAGGGAGCGUAGGUGGCUUGUUAAGUCAGUUGUGAAAGUUUGCGGCUCAACCGUAAAAGUGCAGUUGAAACUGGGAGGCUUGAGUACAGUAGAGGAGGGCGGAAUUCGUGGUGUAGCGGUGAAAUGCUUAGAUAUCACGAAGAACUCCGAUUGCGAAGGCAGCUCACUGGACUGUAACUGACACUGAGGCUCGAAAGUGUGGGUAGCAAACAGGAUUAGAUACCCGAGUAGUC